rnacentral:rRNA from 1 species
CCUACGGGAGGCAGCAGUGGGGGAUAUUGCACAAUGGGGGGAACCCUGAUGCAGCGACGCCGCGUGGGCGAUGGAGCGACUCGGCGCGUAAAGCCCUAUCAGCAGGGAAGAAGAUGACGGUACCUGACUAAGAAGCCCCGGCUAAAUACGUGCCAGCAGCCGCGGUAAUACGUAUGGGGCAAGCGUUAUCCGGAUUUACUGGGUGUAAAGGGAGCGCAGGCGGCCUGGCAAGCCUGGAGUGAAAGCCCGGGGCCCAACCCCGGAACUGCUCUGGAAACUGUGCGGCUAGAGUACUGGAGGGGCAG